GCUGAGGGGUCCUGUCGGCGGCCACAGUGAGCUGUAAGGGAAGUGACAAUCUCUAAGUCUCUGGAUUGUGUUUUCUUUACGGGUUUCGAUGCUCAGGAUGAUGAAAGGGAAAGAUUCAGAGGAAGUAGAGAUUGACUUGGAGGACUCCAGUGACCCUGAAUCUGAUAACGAGGAGGAACCUGAGAUGCUGUGGAAAGCCCCUCCUGCUCACGAAGAAGAAGAAGACAUUCAUACCACCACACUGGUGGAAAUCAGUGAUACUAAGCCUCUGAUUAAUGUCAGAGACCCCCGUGAUAUAAAUGACUGUCUCAAGGUGACGUUUGAGGAUGUGAUUGCUGAACCGGUGUCGUUGCGCAGUGGGGACAGAGUGUGGAUCUGGAGUAAUGCCCUGUUUGAGGUGUCCAGGGUUUGGAUCUACAGGAUAGUCACAUUGAUUCUGGCAAUUCCCAUUUCAAUUAUCUCUGGACUCCUCUUCGCCAUCCUCAGCUGCUUCCACAUCUGGAUGGUCGGUCCUUGCAGCCACUGUCUCCGCAUCGGUGCCCGCUGGCUGCAGAGCCUAUGGAGCAUUGUGCUGUCCGUUGUUGUGCGCCCCUUCCUCACGAGUGCUGGGCGAUGCUGUGGAGGCUUCAGCAUUCACCUGGCCAAGGAAUGAGACUCACACAUCCGGACUGGAAUUGUUUUUUUAUGUGAACUUGUUUUCCAGUGGACUGAGCCACAGUCCACAGGAUGUUUGAAUCUUUAAUAGUCUAUUCAAAAUACAAUUUUUUAUAAACAGUACUUUCUUAAAUAACUUACAGCGGUUGAUUGGAAGACAACUUUAAUGGUGAAAGUGACCGUUGUUGAUAGUCAUGCAGCUCUUUCUAUGAUACCAUAGUGGACUAUUGUCUCUGUAUGACUUUUUGAUUUUUGAGUGACUUCAGCAUACAUUUUUGUGCAAAUUGAUGAAUGUGUCAUCUUUUUUAUUUUAUAUUGUUAAAUGUGUUUAUUUCUCUGUAGAUAAAACACUUAUUACAGUAACUGAGUUUUUAUCUUGCAGUAUGGCAACUCCUUAUGGCAGUUAUGAAUCGCAACAUGAGCCUGCUUUCCCCUUGAGAAAAAUGUGUACAGUGUGUGUGUGUGUGUGUGUGUGUGUGUGUGUGUGUGUGUGUGUGUGUGUGUGUGUGUGUGUGUGUGUGUGUCGACAGUUUAAGGUUGUCAACGCUGGCAGCUGCCUGCUGGCAUUCCUGGAUUGAAAACAUACUGAGUGGCGUUUCAGUUUAUAAACCUCCACUCCUCUGCUAUGCCCUCCUUGGCUCUGAAUGCAGCCACACACACACACACACACACACACACACACACACACACACACACACACACACACACACACACACACACACACAUACUCUGGUGCUUCAUUAUCUCAGUUCCACCUUGAGUCAAAGAGCAGGGCUCUUUCUGAAAUCAACAGGAACCUGGAGUGGAUGAUCAGGAACGACAGCUACACCUGGAAGAAGACCUCAAAAAACCCAAAAAAAAAAAGAGGGAAUGGUUAAGGUUCAAACAAUCUCUUUACUUUAUUAUCACUGAAUUGCAUUACAGAAUUGUUUAAUUUUGCGAUUAUUGAAGCUUGAAAAUGUGUGUGUCCAAUAAA